rnacentral:rRNA from 1 species
CUUGUCGGGUAAGUUCCGACCUGCACGAAUGGUGUAACGAAUUGGGCACUGUCUCAACCAUGACCCCAGCGAAAUUGAAGUGUCGGUGAAGAUGCCGGCUACCCGCAGCAGGACGAAAAGACCCCGUGAACCUUUACUACAACUUAGUAUUGGAUUCUGAUUCUAUCUGUGUAGGAUAGGUGGGAGGCUUUGAAGCCGGGACGCUAGUCUCGGUGGAGCCAACCUUGAAAUACCACCCUUAUAUCAUUAGGAUUCUAAUCCUGACCCGUGAAUCCGGGCAGGAGACAGUGCUAGGUGGGUAGUUUGACUGGGGCGGUCUCCUCCUAAAAAGUAACGGAGGAACUCAAAGGUCUCCUCAGCACGGUCGGUAAUCGUGCGUAGAGCGCAAAGGCAUAAGGAGGCUUAACUGCGAGGUCGACGGACCGAGCAGGUGCGAAAGCAGGACUUAGUGAUCUGGUGGUUCCGUAUGGAAGGGCCAUCACUCAACGGAUAAAAGGUACUCCGGGGAUAACAGGCUUAUCUCCCCCAAGAGUUCACAUCGACGGGGAGGUUUGGCACCUCGAUGUCGGCUCAUCACAUCCUGGAGCUGGAGAAGGUUCCAAGGGUUGGGCUGUUCGCCCAUUAAAGUGGUACGUGAGCUGGGUUUAGAACGUCGUGAGACAGUUCGGUCUCUAUCCGCCGUGGGCGCAAGAUAUUUGAGGGAAUCUGCUUCUAGUACGAGAGGACCGAAGUGGACGAACCUCUGGUGUACCAGUUGUUCCAUCAGGAGCACGGCUGGGUAGCUAUGUUCGGUCCGGAUAAGCGCUGAAAGCAUAUAAGCGCGAAACCGAUCCCAAGAUUAGAUAUCUCUAACAUAAGUUAAUAAGGCUCGUUGUAGACUACGACGUUGAUAGGCUGCAGGUGUAAGUGUAGUAAUACAUUCAGCUGAGCAGUACUAAUAAGCCGAACGGCUUUACCAA